rnacentral:rRNA from 1 species
UACAGAGGUCUCAAGCGUUGUUCGGAUUAAUUGGGCGUAAAGGGUGUGUAGGCGGCGCCGUAAGUCGGGUGUGAAAUUUCGGAGCUUAACUCCGAAACUGCAUUCGAUACUGCGGUGCUUGAGGACUGGAGAGGAGACUGGAAUUCAUGGUGUAGCGGUGAAAUGCGUAGAUAUCGUAAGGAAGACCAGUGGCGAAGGCGGGUCUCUGGACAGUUCCUGACGCUGAGGCACGAAGGCCAGGGGAGCAAACGGG